rnacentral:rRNA from 1 species
UACAGAGGUCCCGAGCGUUUGUUCGGAUUCAUUGGGCGUAAAAGGGUGCGUAGGCGGCGGGGCAAGUCUGAUGUGAAAUCCCGGGGCUCAACCCCGGAACUGCAUUGGAUACUGCCUUGCUAGAGUACUGGAGAGGGAACUGGAAUUUACGGUGUAGCAGUAGAAAUGCGUAGAGAUCGAUAAGGAAGGCCAGUGGGCGAAG